UUUUAUUUGAGAGUUUGAUCCUGGCUCAGGAUGAACGCUGGCGGCGUGCCUAACACAUGCAAGUUGAGCGAUUUACUUCGGUAAAGAGCGGCGGACGGGUGAGUAACGCGUGGGUAACCUACCCUGUACACACGGAUAACAUACCGAAAGGUAUGCUAAUACGGGAUAAUAUAUUUGAGAGGCAUCUCUUGAAUAUCAAAGGUGAGCCAGUACAGGAUGGACCCGCGUCUGAUUAGCUAGUUGGUAAGGUAACGGCUUACCAAGGCGACGAUCAGUAGCCGACCUGAGAGGGUGAUCGGCCACAUUGGAACUGAGACACGGUCCAAACUCCUACGGGAGGCAGCAGUGGGGAAUAUUGCACAAUGGGCGAAAGCCUGAUGCAGCAACGCCGCGUGAGUGAUGAAGGCCUUCGGGUCGUAAAACUCUGUCCUCAAGGAAGAUAAUGACGGUACUUGAGGAGGAAGCCCCGGC
rnacentral:rRNA from 1 species